UUCAUCAUCAUAUUCACAUCUCGUCGUAUUCACCCGCCAUUGAAAUCCCCAAGCUCUGACCUCGUCUCCCCAGCUUCUUAGCCCUAACCCCCAAAAACAGUCUUCAAUUUCCACUCAAAUUCGUCCAGAAAACGGCUCUCGUUUCAGUUUCUCUUCAACGGCAAUCACCUCCAUCUCCAUCCUUGCAGCGAUUCGUAUCUCUCUCUCAGGAUUGGGCCGUUUAAGACAAUAGGGGGCUUUGUUUGGAACAGUGGUGUUUGGGCUCUUCACGGGUUAAAGAUUGGAUAGCGCAAGUGAUAUGUAACAAACAAUACAAAAUCUCAUUUCAGGCUUUUGAAAUAUGGGAUCAGUCUGUUGCGUUGCUGCUAGAGACAAGACUAUUGGUGUUGGAUCUAGUAGCGAAACGCAGCCUAGGAAUGUUCGUCACUCGCCGAGUUGGAGCUUUAGAUGGGAUCAUCCUGGGCGUGUUGUUGGUGAGGAAGUUUCACUGAAUUCGAUUUCAGAUGGACUAAGUAGGAACGAGCGGCCUGAGUUCAAGUAUGAAUCCUCAUAUGCAUCAGACGAGGGUAGUCCAUUGGAUAGACAGACAUGGAAAAACUCCUCAGUAUCUGAAGGAAGCACGACAAAUGUGAGGACGCCUAUAUCAGGUUGUUCAAUUUCAAGAAAUAUUUUCACGGAUGUUAGUUUGGAACAGGUGAAGAAAGCUACAGAAUAUCCGACGACAUCUACAUCUCCUGCAAAAGUAUCCCUUUCAAUCCCUUCAAUUUCAUCUUUUUCAACAUCCCCUCUAUCAACCCACAGCCAUCUGCCUUCUGCCGGUUUGACAUCAUCAAGAUUGUCUCACUGUUCUCCCGGAGACCGUUUAUUACGUCAAGUAUCUGGCAACCGUAUCCCAGCGUACAAGUCACCGGGUAGCUACAUAGUUUCAGAGGACAGGCGUAAAAUCCCUGGGAGCAAUGAUUCAUUGCGGGGCUCACAUGGUGGAUCUUCUGAUGGUUGGUCUAUGAAUGCUUUCUCUGAGCUCAUGGCAACUUCACAUAGGGGAAGAUGGUCCUUUGGUAGUGAAUCCUUCGACUUUGCUCGUGAGAAGAUGGUUAGAUCCUGCAGCUUAUUCUCAACUUCGCCUUCAACUGAUGCACAAACAUGCGGAAUUUGCUCAAUGUUGUUGGUUGAGAGAUCCUUAUGGACCAGCCAAAAGAUAAUUGCUAACAAUGAGCUGUCUGUCGUUGCCGUACUAACUUGUGGACAUGUUUAUCAUGCCGAGUGUUUGGAGAAUAUGACACCUGAAAUUAGCAAGUAUGAUCCAGCCUGCCCAAUAUGUUCAUUUGGUGAAAAGCAGACACUAAGGAUGUCUGAAAAGGCACUUAGAGGUGAAUUGGAAUUGAAAAUUAGAAACAAGAGGUUAAGGAAUCGCAUUGCAGAUAGCGGUCUUGAUGGUGAAUCUAACAUGUUUGAUCAUUUUAUAAAUGGUGGACAACAAGAGAAGUGUCCUAAGCUGUCCUCUAGCUCCAGUUUGAGAGGUUCUUCAGGGAAGGGUUUCUUGAGGCGUCACUUCUCCUUUGGCUCAAAGGGGGGAGGGACUAAAGCUCUGCCAGAAAGUAACAACACAGCGAAGAGAAAGGGAUUGUUAUGGUCAAGAUCUACUAAGAUGUAACAUUUUCUGUUGCUUAUGGGAGACUGCCUGACCGUGGGUGGCUGUCGUUUUUGCGCUGCAACUAGCAAGGAAAUAUCAGCCAGAGAAUGAGCAGCGGUACUAGGGUGAUGAGCUUGAUGAGCUUGGGGGCGGAGGAGUCUGAGGUGUCGAGUUUGUGUAUAUAGCUUACUUCCCCAGUUUGUUUACACUCCUACAAUUUAGCUAGAAUGCCAACACAAUCAAGAUAGAGAUGAUUGUUAAAUGUUUUGGAUUUGGAUUGGUUUCAUCACAGAAGCUGACACCUAUCAUAUAAAUGUCUAACGUGGCAACCCAAAA